CAACAGAUCCUUUUACCAUCCAGGUCCCUUCCUUGUAGGAGGCCAGAGUGCAACAGCUGCAAACAGCAGCCUGCUCACCAAUACAUCCACCUUGCCACUUGUAGGGGUUGUCUCAAGCGACCCUGGAGACAGCC